rnacentral:misc_RNA from 1 species
GAUGAAGAACGUAGCGAAAUGCGAUAAGUAAUGUGAAUUGCAGAAUUCAGUGAAUCAUCGAGUCUUUGAACGCACAUUGCGCCCCCUGGUAUUCCGGGGGGCAUGCCUGUCCGAGCGUCAUUGCUGCCCAUCAAGCACGGCUUGUGUGUUGGGUCCCGUCCCCCUCUCCCGGGGGACGGACCCGAAAGGCAGCGGCGGCACCGCGUCCGGUCCUCGAGCGUAUGGGGCUUUGUCACCCGCUCUUGUAGGCCCGGCCGGCGCUUGCCGACACCCAACCAUUUUUUUCAGGUUGACCUCGGAUCAGGUAGGGAUACCCGCUGAACUUAAGCAUAUCAAUAAGCGGAGGA